UGAGGACUCUGCCAGGUGCGGUAAUUGUUUGUUUAUGAUGUGGACUCCUGCGUCAUGGCACCCGGUAAACCCUGUUUCUGCGUCCGGCCGCUGCGUUGGAGACUCGUCGAGCUGUUUGGAGCCGACAGCCGUUGUUUGUUUGGUUGUUUGUUUGCGGGCCGGCCCAUUCAUACACAUAAAAACUGAACUACUUCCAUCCAUACUCCGCUUGGACUAGCCGACAUCCACCAUCCGACCACUCCGCGGACCCUCACCCCAUCUGCGGUUCUCCGGUCCAAGCUGUCAUCGUCCCAGUCAUCUUCCCAGCUGCCCCCCCCGCUGACUCAGUGGUAAAAUCCACACACCAAUGCACCAUCUUCGAGCCAACCCUGGGGAAAAACUGACCAUCCACAGCCUUCCUGUAGAUGCACAAACCGAGGGGCACUUUACGAGACGAGCGGCCGUCCCUGCCCGUGAUGUCAUCCACAGCUCUCACCUAAUCCCACCGAUCACCAGAGAGCUGCCAGCCAGACACACCAGAAGAAUACAACUGCUAUUUCUUCGUCCUGCUUCUCUCUCUCUCUCUCUCUCUCUCUCACUCUCUCUCCCUUUUUUUCUCACUCUCUCUUUUUUUUAAGGCUGUAAAGAGUGCAGCCCGUGCGCCACACACUCUCCGAGCCUGUGGGUGGAUAUUUUUAUAAAGGGCUUUUCCCAAAAUAUACUGCUUGUCCAAUUACUGACACAUUAACUGCUUCUCAUCUGACGCACCAAGCAGCAAGCGGACACUGACGCACUGUUUUCAAAAUGACUCUUUGCAAGGAGUAUAGAGGGAUUAUAGCCUUUUUUUCCUGCCCUCUACAUGGCUACUUCCACACAAAGAGGAAAUACUCUGACAUGCACUCACACUCUGUAAAUCUCCCACUUCAUGUUAUUUCUUGACAAAAAAAGAAAUAUAUUCUUUUGAUGUGCUUUAAUUUUGUUGACGUCAGCCACAGUUUAUAAAGAGAUGCACAGGAACUGAAUAAAGUUCCAUCUACAUAGAAAAGUAAUGAGGCCAAAACGCUAAACACGUCACCCCAAAAUCCUCCUGAUUGUACCUUUAAUGGAGAGCAAGGCUGUGCACAACCUCCUGCCUCAAAACAGAAUGUUUUCAACGAACAAGUCAUGCUUUCAACAAAUUUGACAUGGUAACAAGUAGAUGUUUGAUUCUUGGACACAAGAACACGAUAUAUUAAAAGAGAGAGAGCGUUUUUGCUUUUCCAGGAGUCUUACAUCCACGUGUGGUAAUUGAGUAAACAUUUGUUCCAGAUUCGGCACCACGGGUCACAGUGUGAUGUAUGGCCGCUGUCUCCUAAUCAGCCCUGGGAAAUGAGCACACAUGCACGGGCGCGGAUACACACACUGAACACACACACAGAUACACACUCACUCAACUGUAGUUGCUGCAGGUUUUGCAGUAGAUAUGAGUAAUAUUUUUUGUGGUGCUGCCCAUUUUUAAACCAUAUAUUUUAAGUUGUCAGCAAAUGUUUCUAACUGUAAUAGUUUAUUAAAAAAUAACAAAGCAGAUGAGUGACAAUGAAGAUAAAGCUGUAAACAUUCGUCUUUUCUUGCACUGCAGAAGUUUUCUGUUCAAGUCAGACAGCAGUUCCUGCCUCAGCUUCACGUUGCCUUGCCUUCUUUCUCUCUCUCUCACACACACACACACACACACACACACACACACACACACACACACACACACACACACACACACACACACACACACACUGUUUCCA
rnacentral:lncRNA from 1 species